rnacentral:rRNA from 1 species
CGUGGGUAAUCUACCUAUUGGCUUGGGAUAACAGUCCGAAAGGAUUGCUAAUACCGGAUAAGACCACAGCUCUGCGGAGUGGUGGUAAAAGGCGCUCGCAAGGGUGCCACCGAUUGAUGAGCCCGCGGCCUAUCAGCUAGUUGGCGGGGUAAUGGCCCACCAAGGCUACGACGGGUAACUGGUCUGAGAGGACGACCAGUCACACUGGAACUGAGACACGGUCCAG